UCUGCUGUUCAUUAUUGUUACCAUCAUUAUAUCUCCAAUGUGACAGCUUUGGUUUUCUGAAAAUGAUUUAAUUGGCUAAAAAAAUCCCCUGUCCUUUUUCAAGGUGCAUUCUGCCUGUUUUGUUCUUUCUCUCAGACGGGAAGGAAAGUCUAAGCAAGAAUGCUCAAGGAGGCAUUUUGAGGCCCCUGUGGAGUGGAGGUGCCUCCUUUGACCUUUCCAUCAGUCUUUUCAUUCCUCACCAGGAAGAUUCCACAAAAACAAUUUGAGAAUCUUAUGUGAAAUAGAACUGAGCUCUUGCAGUUAGUUAUAUGUGAUGACAGAAACAGAAUUCCAUGCUGGGAGACAGUCUACUGGUUCUCUGUCUUCUGGUGCAUUUGGACCACCUGAAAGGACAGCCGGUUGGAAUGGAGGCCACACUCACACACAGCUCUUAUGACGUGGAAGACCGUCUGGGUCAGGGAUCAAGUUCGUCAUGCUCAAAAGAAAGGAAUACAAGACAUCAUAAAAACUCCACCCGAUUACUCUUACUCAUAGUUUCAGAACUUCAGAUGAG